rnacentral:rRNA from 1 species
AUGAACGCUAGCUACAGGCUUAACACAUGCAAGUCGAGGGGCAGCAUGAGCUUAGCUUGCUAAGCUUGAUGGCGACCGGCGCACGGGUGAGUAACACGUAUCCAACCUCCCGCUUACUCAGGAAUAGCCUUUCGAAAGAAAGAUUAAUGCCUGAUGGUAUCUUAAGCACACAUGUAAUUAAGAUUAAAGAUUUAUCGGUAAGCGAUGGGGAUGCGUUCCAUUAGGUAGUAGGCGGGGUAACGGCCCACCUAGCCUACGAUGGAUAGGGGUUCUGAGAGGAAGGUCCCCCACAUUGGAACUGAGACACGGUCCAAACUCCUACGGGAGGCAGCAGUGAGGAAUAUUGGUCAAUGGGCGCGAGCCUGAACCAGCCAAGUAGCGUGAAGGAUGAAGGUCCUACGGAUUGUAAACUUCUUUUAUACGGGAAUAAAGUGGCCUACGUGUAGGCUUUUGCAUGUACCGUAUGAAUAAGCAUCGGCUAACUCCGUGCCAGCAGCCGCGGUAAUACGGAGGAUGCGAGCGUUAUCCGGAUUUAUUGGGUUUAAAGGGAGCGUAGACGGGGGAUUAAGUCAGUUGUGAAAGUUUGCGGCUCAACCGUAAAAUUGCAGUUGAUACUGGUUCCCUUGAGUGCAGUUGAGGCAGGCGGAAUUCGUGGUGUAGCGGUGAAAUGCAUAGAUAUCACGAAGAACCCCGAUUGCGAAGGCAGCCUGCUAAGCUGUAACUGACGUUGAGGCUCGAAAGUGUGGGUAUCAAACAGGAUUAGAUACCCUGGUAGUCCACACGGUAAACGAUGGAUACUCGCUGUUGGCGAUAUACUGUCAGCGGCCAAGCGAAAGCAUUAAGUAUCCCACCUGGGGAGUACGCCGGCAACGGUGAAACUCAAAGGAAUUGACGGGGGCCCGCACAAGCGGUGGAGUAUGUGGUUUAAUUCGAAGCAACGCGAAGAACCUUACCAGGCCUUGACAUCCCUUGCAGAGGUAUAGGGAUAUAUCCGAGGUUAUCAAGGAGACAGGUGGUGCAUGGUUGUCGUCAGCUCGUGUCGUGAGAUGUUGGGUUAAGUCCCGCAACGAGCGCAACCCUCGUGGCCAGUUACUAUCAGGUAAGGCUGAGGACUCUGGCCAGACUGCCAUCGUAAGAUGCGAGGAAGGUGGGGAUGACGUCAAAUCAGCACGGCCCUUACGUCCGGGGCUACACACGUGUUACAAUGGGAGGUACAGAAGGCAGCUACCCGGCGACGGGAUGCCAAUCCCGAAAGCCUCUCUCAGUUCGGACUGGAGUCUGCAACCCGACUCCACGAAGCUGGAUUCGCUAGUAAUCGCGCAUCAGCCACGGCGCGGUGAAUACGUUCCCGGGCCUUGUACACACCGCCCGUCAAGCCAUGAAAGCCGGGGGUACCUGAAGUGCGUAACCGCAAGGAGCGCCCUAGGGUAAAACCGGUAAUUGGGGCU